rnacentral:sRNA from 1 species
CAGAAAACAAGUUGAUUCGAUGUCAUCAGUCCCGUGGUGGAGCCUGUGGAGACAACAUUCAGUCUUAUACUGCCACAGUCAUUAGUGCUGCUAAAACGUUGAAAAGUGGCCUGACAAUGGUAGGGAAAGUGGUGACUCAGCUGACAGGCACACUGCCUUCAGGUGUGACAGAAGAUGACGUUGCCAUCCACAGUAAUUCACGGCGGAGCCCUUUGGUCCCAGGCAUCAUCACAGUUAUUGACACAGAAACUGUCGGAGAGGGCCAGGUGCUUGUGAGUGAGGAUUCUGACAGUGAUGGCAUUGUGGCCCACUUCCCUGCCCAUGAGAAGCCAGUGUGCUGCAUGGCUUUUAAUACAAGUGGAAUGCUUCUAGUCACAACAGACACCCUUGGCCAUGACUUUCAUGUCUUCCAAAUUCUGACUCAUCCUUGGUCCUCAUCACAAUGUGCCGUCCACCAUCUGUAUACUCUUCACAGGGGAGAAACUGAAGCCAAAGGUCUCACUCUGUCUCCCAGGGUAAAAUGCAGUGGUGCAAUCACAGCU